AGGCGGUGCAUGGCUGUCGGCAAUUCGUGUUUUGAUAUGUUUGGUUAAGUCCAGUAACGAAUGUAACCCUUAUAACUAAUUUAUUUAAAUUGUUAUUAAUAUUUAAAAAUUAUUAAUACAUUUAGAUUUAGUAUACUGCUGAAAAGCGCUCGGAUGAAGGUUAGGAUUAGGUCAAGUCGUUAUGCCCUUCAUAGAUUGGGCUUUACAUAUGAUACAAUGGUAGUCACAUAGAGAUGUGCGGCGUUAUUCCCAAACAAAUCUUUUAAAAACUGCCGUAGUUCGGAUUGCAACCUGAAACUUGGUUGCAUGAAGUCGGAAUAGCUAGUAUCGCUCAUCAGCACGGUGCGGUGAAUUUUCUUUAAUUCAAGUACAGACUGCCCGUCAGGCGUCUAAAGUUGGUUGUGGUGGAAAUUGGCGGGAUUUAUUUCACUUUUACAUUCGUUAAAAUGAUUCUGUUCUAGUUUUUGAAAUUAUACUAACGUGUUUUAUUGUUAAUCAUAUUAUCGCUUGCUAUGGAUGUUAAGUCGUAACACGGUCGGGCUAACGGAAGUUGUCCGGGACUAUUUAUCCU
rnacentral:ncRNA from 1 species